GUUGCAAUCUCCUCGUGGGAUCCGUGAGCUGGACCGGGUCCGCCGCGUCGUGGGGAUAAGACCUUGGACUCUCCGCAGUUUCUUCCCUGCGAGACCCAUGUGCAGAAGCUCUGCACCGCUCUAGCCGCCAGGUACCGAUAUCGCCGUCUGUGAGGGAGAGCCGAGUGACAUCGCCGCCAUGGGCUGUUCCCCGUUCAACCAGUCGACGUGCACCGCCCAACCCUGUCAUUGUGCAUGGGAGUGAGAGAGCUCUGUUGUUGCCGAGAGCUGGCGGCUACUCCAACCGCGUGCCGUCGGGAUCGGGCUUCGGGGAGAGAAAUCGAGGAGAGAGGGAUUAGGGGAAAGCUCUGGUCUUCAUCAUCCGCUAACGUGGUAAGAUUCCCUUCCCGUCAUGUUUCUCGCUCCGCAUAGUAGCGUUUCGGGUCGGAGUUAGUUCACCAGAGUAUGAUUAGGAAGCUUGUCCAUGGUGCAUCUAUGGCGGACGGGCUGCCGCGUCUCUUGUGUUGCGGUGUUAUCGCCCCGAUCCAUUG
rnacentral:lncRNA from 7 species